rnacentral:rRNA from 1 species
AGGUAAUACUCAUUGGAAACCUUCAAUUCAUGGCGGCCCUUUAUCUUAUCAGAGAAACUUGUCCCUUUAUCGAUACUCCCCGUUUAGUUUCCCUUUUAUCAAUAUUCUUAUACCGCCGUCUUAAGAUAAUAUUCCGACCCAAUUCUCUAAACAUCUUUUAUCAAGUCAGGUCAAGGUGAGAUCUAUAUAAAAGAGAAGAUGAGUUGCGCAUAACACAAAUUUUAGGAUUUAUUUUCUAAAGACUUUAAUAAAAUAGGAUUUGACAGUAGGUGUUUAAUAAUAUUCUACUCCGAAAACGAAAAUUAGGUGU